rnacentral:rRNA from 1 species
UACGGGGGGUGCGAGCGUUGUCCGGAAUCACUGGGCGUAAAGGGCGCGUAGGUGGUUUGAUAAGGGUGUGGUGAAAGUCCGGAGCUCAACUCCGGAUCUGCCGUGCCGACUGUCAAACUCGAGGGCUGUAGAGGCAGACGGAAUUCCGGGUGUAGCGGUGGAAUGCGUAGAGAUGCGGAGGAACACCGAUGGCGAAGGCAGCCCCCUGGGCCAACACUGACGCUCAGGCACGAAAGCGUGGGGAGCAAACAGG